UAUUUCCCUGUUGUACAGCCCAGAUGCGCGCCCUUUUCUUAGAACCACAAGCUCCCUGAUAUUUGUAGAAGACGGCUGUGUUAUAGUUUAGGAGAAAUAGCUGUGAUCAUAUACAAUAUCAUAUAAUGUCUGAUCAAAACGUAACCAACAACAUCCUGGCGUGUACUAUAAACAAUACAUAUCAUGUUAACGGCGAUGGUCUCGGGGUGCAGAUUGGAAAUGGUAAUAGUAUCCAACAGACCAAUCAACUUCAAGAAGAGGUGGUUGACCUGCGGGAAGAGUUGGGUGAAUUAAAAGACCGAGUCAGACAGCUAGAGGAAAGAAUGGCCGCAUCAGAAAAUAAUAAUGAUGAUAAAAACACUGAGGAACCAGGAUAUAAGAUGGAUGACGAGGAGGAGGAGGAGAAGGAUGUGAUUACUCUGAACAUCAGGUGUAUUGGGUAUGGUGAUAUAAGUGAUAUAAGUGUUAGUAAAGAUAAAACUAUAAGUGAACUAGAACCUAUAAUACAGCAGGGGUAUAGAAGGAAGUAUGGUAAAGGUGUUGAUGUUUGUCAUAUUCUGCGUAUCUACAGUGUAAAACAGAAGAAGUUCAUCUACCGCUGUAACAACAACAAAGAUCUACCAUUAUCACAUUAUGGUGUACGUAAUAGUGAUAGAGUCUGGGGGUGGCGGUAGUCUGUUUGGUUGUAAAACAGGAAGAGUUUAUAUACAUAUAUAAGUCUUGUUUUAUGUACUGAUAUUUAUACAAUCCCAGGUAUAUGGGUAUACGUUAUCACAAUGUCAUAUUAUAAUGGAUAUCUUAUAUUUUGUAUUCAAUUUAUUGUGAUCAAUAUUUAUUUCAAGAUCAAAUUGUUUUAUACUCAUGGUUCUAAUGACCGAUCAAACAUACCCGUAAGUUAACAGCAAGAAUAGAGAGAGAGAGAGAGAGAAAUGGGGUUUAACGUCCACUCGACACAAACUAGGUCAUUUCGGGACUAACAUAUGGUUUAAUUUUAUUUCAAUAAUUCGCUUGCGCGUAGGGGUCUUUAGCAGUGGGAGGAAACCGGAGGAGCCGGAGAAAACCCACGAGGUUGGACAGGCGACCCUACUCCUUGUCACGUACAACCGGGGAUUCGAAACCACGCCAGUUGACUCAAUGACAGGCCUUAUGAUACAGCGCGAGCGUGCUAACCAUUCGGCCACCCAACCCCCCUAACAGCAAGAAUAAUGAGAUAUAUAUUCCCGUACAUGUGAUCAUAGGUCCGGUGGGGUGUGGGUUGUCAAAGAAAUAAAUAGAUACAUAUUCCCAUAUAUGGUAUCCUAAGUGGGGGUUGGGGGUCGAAAUAAUUAGAUACAUAAUCCAAUACAUGCGGUCCUAGGUGUGUGAGGUGCAAAGCCCAGCUUAGACACGGACCCACGCGGUUUAUUAGGGGGGCCCGCGGUUCAUGGCAAAAAGAGAAAAAAUCAAAUUCCAGAUGAAAGUUUCACGUUAAUCGCCGUUAUAUGUCAUUUCAUGAAUGCCAUUCGGAACUGAAAAGAUUUCGUAUGUUAUUAUUCUUGUAUUACAGACCGUUUAAUUGUGUGCUACGCAUGCGUGGCAUUCAAAAGGAUGUGAAAUAAUCUAUUCGUCGCGUUAGGGGCUCCGCGAUUCUAGUCGGGCCCAAAGCCCCGCUCUGGUUAGGCUGAACUUUGGUUGGGUGUCAGAGAAAAUAAAUUAGAUAUAUGUGGUACUGGACGGGUGAUUGUGACCACUGAUCUUAUGUCAGAGAUUGAACAAGAAUAAUUCGAUACAUAUAUUCAUAUACAUCUGGUCCUAGGUGACAGGCAUUAGUACGACUAACUUACGAGUUUUAUUAUGUAUCAUUUCAAAAAUUGAUCUACUGACUAUUCCGUGGCUUAUUUAGCAGGUGCACUGUGCGGAUGUGUGGGUAUGGGGCGGUAUAGUGUGGUCGGAUAAUUGUAAUGCAACACGCCUGAUAACUGAUUCGUGAUCUUGUAUACGAGGUUGUUACAAAUGAAAGGAGAUAGAUAAAAAAAAGUCUUUAGAAUUUCAGAAUUUCACUUUAUAUAUAGAAGUGUUGAAUAUAAAUGUUUCAGUGUA